rnacentral:lncRNA from 1 species
UUGUUUAUUCUCCAGUCGCGUGUGAGUCAGCCAGAUCAUGAUUUGUGGUGGUUUUGCUUGUGAAAUCUUACAUAAUUAUAUUCCUAUUGUCAUGUUGGGUCGAGCAGUUAGACCAUGUAGUGUUUUCUCAUUGCACAAUGUUUGCAAAUCAAUAAGGAGAAAGCCUGAACAAUGCGAUGACGUUGGCCAGGAACCCGGCCCGAGUCACCCAGGAGGCGGCUCUGCAGUUUCUCAGGAGGACACAUUUGGACCUGACCUUCACCACUGGUCAUGUGAGAAAGCCUCUAUACCUGGUUCCUCAACGUCUCCGUUUAGAAGACUGCAUCAGCAAAACCAUCCUACCAUGGGAAUUAACUGAUGGAUGUGUCUGGACUUCCCAGGGGGUUCUCCAUGGACAGUAUUGUGCUGGUAAAUAUUUAACAACUGACUCUUCGUGGGGAGAAAAUCACUAAGUGUAGCAUCUGUUAACACCUCCACCCUGGCUGAUGCGCAGUUGGGAAGACAUGUGCACAGCUGGCACCGUGAGCUGGCAGGAGCUGCUCUAAAGACGAGGAGACGGAGACCUAGAGGAAGUCAUUUGUACAAGGCCAUAUGGCUUGCUCCUGAUAGAUCUGGAAUUUGGACUCAGGCAGCCUGGUUCUGGAGCUGAAUUCUGAACUACCUAUAUCAUCCCACCUCAGUCCAGUGAGAGAACGUGUCACCUGAGUGCUCAAGAUACAUCAAGAGCCCGACCAUGUCCUGGAGCCUCUUAAGAGCGAAGCUCAGGGUGCAGGACCUGAGAGGGUGUUAAUCAGCCGCUUCCAUUUUUUUCUUAAUAUGGGAAGACCAGAUUUUGCUUGGCUUCUGGAAACCGCUGCCAUCUUGCUUUUCCUCCUACUUCAGCUCUUGGUCUCCUGUGCAGCUGGCUUUUCCUUCUUCCUGACUUUUCAAGCCCAUCCUUGGACCUCUUAUCUUCUCCAUCAAAAUUCUCUCCCUGGAUGAUUUCACUGAGGCCGAUGGCUUAAAUCCCUUAGAAAUACUGAUAGCUCCAAAUCCCUAUCUUUAGCCUGGCCUCCUGCCCUAGAAUUCACUUGUCUAAGUGCCUAGUGGAUUUCUCCACUUAGAUGUCUCAUAAGCAUUUCAAACCUGCCCAAAACGAAACUUGAUUACCAUCCCCAAACCACUCUUCCCUAAGAAAAUGGUGUCCCCGUUCCACCAGUUGCUCAGGCAAAAACCCUAGCAAUCAGCCUCACUUGCUUUCAUUCUCUCUCAUCUCCCACAUCAAACCCAUUAGCAAAUUCUGUUGGUUCUUUUUUGAAAUGUACUCGGAGGCUACUUCUCACCACAUGCUCUGCUAUGGUUCUAGCCCAAGCCACUGUCAGUCUCUCCCAGAGACACAAGCUGUACCUUCCUAACUCGCACCCCUGUGUGCAUCCCUGUGUGCAUCCCUGCUCACCCAAAGCCAACCCUUUGCAUAUAACCAGAGUGAUUUUUUUGAAAUGUAAAUAAGAACCGGUCACCACCCUAUUCAAAUCCUCCAGGGGCUUCUCAUUUCUCUUAGAACAAAACCCAGACUCCUGACUACAGCCCCAAAGCCCUACAUGAUCCUGCCCCAUUUACAGCUCCAGGCUCAUUACCUACCUCGUGCUCCCAGCCCACGGAUCAUCGCCUACCACAUGCUCCCAGCCCCCGGAUCUCCAGCACAUCAGCCUCUUGGCUCUUCUUAGAACUCCCUGAAUUCACUCCUGUCUCAAGGACUUUCCUGUGCUUUUCCUUAGACAGGAGACACCCCUCCCAGUUCACAUGGCUCACUCGCUUCAUCCAGGUCUCUUCUCCAGUGUCCCCUCCUUGUGACCCCUGGAUCUAAAGGAGUUGAACCACCCCACUCCUACCCUUAUAUUCUCAUAGCUCCUCACGCUGCCUCACUUUUAGCAAGAUUUCAUUAAAAUUUUAUUGCUGUCUAAAAUUCUAUUAUAUAUUUAACCAUUUACUUGUUUAGUAUCUGUGUCUUCCAUUAGCAAGUAAGUUCUGGCCAGGCGUGGUGGCUCACACCUGUAAUCCCAGCACUUUGGGAGGCUGAGGCAGGCAGAUCACCUGAGGUCAGGAGUUUGAGACCAGCCUGGUCAACGUGGUGAAACCCUGUCUCUACUAAAAAUACAAAAAUUUGCCGGGUGUGGUGGCAUGCACCUGUAAUCUCAGCUACUCGGGAGGCUGAGGCAGGAGAAUCGCUUGAACCUGGGAGGUGGAGGCUGCAGUGAGCCAAAAGAAAGAAAGAAAGUAAGUUCCAUGAAGGCAGAAAU